rnacentral:rRNA from 1 species
AGAGUUUGAUCCUGGCUCAGAAUCAACGCUGGCGGCGUGCCUCAGACAUGCAAGUCGAACGCGAAAGUUCCCUUCGGGGAGCUAGUAGAGUGGCGCACGGGUGAGUAACACGUAGGUAAUCUACCUUUGGAUGGGGAAUAACAACCGGAAACGGUUGCUAAUACCGCAUAAUGCAGCGGCACCUAAUGGUGACAGUUGUUAAAGCGGGGGAUCGCAAGACCUCGCGUCUGAAGAGGAGCCUGCGGCAGAUUAGCUAGUUGGUAAGGUAACGGCUUACCAAGGCGAUGAUCUGUAGCCGGCCUGAGAGGGCGGUCGGCCACACUGACACUGACAUACGGGUCAGACUCCUACGGGAGGCAGCAGUCGGGAAUUUUGGGCAAUGGGCGAAAGCCUGACCCAGCAACGCCGCGUGAAGGAUGAAAUCCCUCGGGAUGUAAACUUCGCAAGAACGGGAAGAAUAAGUAGGGGACAAUACCCCCUAUGAUGACGGUACUGUUUGUAAGCUCCGGCUGACUCCGUGCCAGCAGCCGCGGUAAUACGGGGGGAGCAAGCGUUGUUCGGAUUUACUGGGCGUAAAGGGCGCGUAGGCGGCCACCGCAAGUCGACUGUGAAAUCUCCGGGCUUAACCCGGAAAGGUCAGCCGAUACUGCGGGGCUAGAGUGCAGAAGGGGCAACUGGAAUUCUCGGUGUAGCGGUGAAAUGCGUAGAUAUCGAGAGGAACACCUGCGGCGAAGGCGGGUUGCUGGGCUGACACUGACGCUGAAGCGCGAAAGCUAGGGGAGCGAACGGGAUUAGAUACCCCAGUAGUCC